GUGCACCAGUCGCGAAAACUCUGCAAUACGCGAAAGCGUGACAGGGCUACCCCGAGUGUCGUCCGCUGAGGACGACUUUUCCACGCUGUAAGGAGGCGUGGGAAUAAGGAGAGGGCAAGUCUGGUGUCAGCCGCCGCGGUAAUACCAGCUCUCCGAGUGGUAGGGACGUUUAUUGGGCUUAAAGCGUCCGUAGCUGGCCUUUCAAGUCUCUUGUUAAAUCCAGCGAUUCAAUCGUUGGACUGCGGGAGAUACUGGUAGGCUAGGAGGCAGGAGAAGCCGACGGUAUUUCCGGGGUAGGGGUAAAAUCCUAUAAUCCCGGGAAGAGCACCAGUGGCGUAGGCGGUCGGCUAGCACGCGCUCGACAGUGAGGGACGAAAGCUGGGGUAGCGAACCGGAUUAGAUACCCGCGUAGUCC
rnacentral:rRNA from 1 species